rnacentral:rRNA from 1 species
GAUGAACGCUGGCGGCGUGCCUAAUACAUGCCAGUCGAGCGGACGGACGAGAAGCUUGCUUCUCUGAUGUUAGCGGCGGACGGGUGAGUAACACGUGGAUAACCUACCUAUAAGACUGGGAUAACUUCGGGACACCGGAGCUAAUACCGGAUGAUAUUUUGAACCGCAUGGUUCAAAAGUGAAAGACGGUCUUGCUGUCACUUAUAGAUGGAUACGCGCUGCAUUAGCUAGUUGGUAAGGUAACGGCUUACCAAGGCUACGAUGCAUAGCCGACCUGAGAGGGUGAUCGGCCACACUGGAACGGAGACACGGUCCAGACUCCUACGGGAGGCAGCAGUAGGGAAUCGUCCGCAAUGGGCGAAAGCCUGACGGAGCAACGCCGCGUGAGUGAUGAAGGUCUUCGGAUCGGAAAACUCUGUUAUUAGGGAAGAACAUAUGUGUAAGUAACUGUGCACAUCUUGACGGUACCUAAUCAGAAAGCCACGGCUAACUACGUG